rnacentral:tRNA from 1 species
CUCCAGUUAGCCUAGUGGUAAGGCUUUGGAUCGCUAAUCCAGAGACGGCGGGUUCGAUUCCCGUUCGGGGCG